CCCUUCUCAGGAUGGCACCUGGAGAGUUUCCAGUUUUCUACCAGUCUUGGCUACGGGAGGGAGAGUCAAGCAGAGGCAUACUCAUUCCAUUCCUAGAUUGGGCAGUGGCUAGCAAGUGGAAGGCAAUCUGCUAUAAGU
rfam:Ornithorhynchus anatinus chromosome 3, whole genome shotgun sequence.